CGCCAGACUCCUACGGGAGGCAGCAGUGAGGAAUAUUGGUCAAUGGUCGGGAGACUGAACCAGCCAAGCCGCGUGAGGGAUGAAGGUACAGAGUAUCGUAAACCUCUUUUGUCAGGGAACAAAGGCGGGGACGUGUCCCCGGAUGAGUGUACCGGAAGAAAAAGCAUCGGCUAACUCCGUGCCAGCAGCCGCGGUAAUACGGAGGAUGCGAGCGUUAUCCGGAUUUAUUGGGUUUAAAGGGUGCGCCGGCGGCGUGUUAAGUCAGGGGAAGAGGCCGGGGGCCCAACCCCGGCGAGCCGUUGAAACUGGCGGGCUGGAGUUGGAGAGAAGUACGCGGAAUGCGCGGUGUAGCGGUGAAAUGCUUAGAUAUCGCGCAGAACCCCGAUUGCGAAGGCAGCGUACCGGCUCCACACUGACGCUGAGGCACGAAAGCGUGGGUAUCGAACAGGAUUAGAUACCCGCGUAAC
rnacentral:rRNA from 1 species